rnacentral:lncRNA from 1 species
CAAAAUUCCAUAUUCAAAAUGGUGGACGAUUGUUGACAGCUAUACAUUUUGACCUUUUGUGAGUUAUUGAAUGGAUGACUAACAGGAUUACACAUAUAUAUUGUUGGAGAAUAAAUAGAUUUAUCACCAGCAAGAUGAGAGAGAUGAAAGAAUAAAGAGUAGGAAUUGGAAAAAAAGAAAGUCAGGAGCUGCUAUUCAUGAAGGACACAGAAAAGGAGACAGAACAAGAAGGUUGUUCUUAUAGCAAGGACACAAUUAGAAAAGAAAAAAACUGCAGAAAUGGAUAUUUCUUUUCUGGUUGGAGACUUAAAUACCAUGUUGUUGUUUCGAAAGAAAUCUUCAGAUACAUGACAGAGUUGUUUCAUUUCAUUAUAAGGCUUGAAAAAAGUUCAGGAUGGCAACAUAUUUGUUGAAGCCCUGCCAAUGAGUAUACCAGUAACUGAAUCGGGUAGUCUUCCAAAAAUGUUAAAACUGACAGACUAAAGUCAUUUUUGCAUCAAUGAAUAUAAACAAACAUUCAGAAAAUGGCAAUAAACAAUGUAAGUGAAGAAGCAGCUCUCAGUAUUAGAAAAUUUGGAGCAAAAAGCAUUGCCGGUUUGGAAACAUCACAAGAGGAUAAAUCAGAAAUAUAAUUAGGAUGAAACUUUGGCAAGGAGUAAUUUUGAAACAGUAACUUCAGACUAAGUACUGAAAGAAAAACAGUGUAUCAUGAAACUUCAGUUGGUGAAUUAUACACAAUCUGUAAGAGAUUAACAUCUAUAAGAGAUUAACUGAGAAACCAGAUCAGGGAGAAAGAUGCUUUGAAGAACUACAUGUUAUUAAUAAAAAAUCUAAAAGUUGAAUCAGAUUAAUCUGGGAUUCAAAAUGAUACAGAUGAAACAGUGCCUCUACGGAAAAAUGAAACUAUCGAGUAUGAAUGCAUUAGUGGAAAGCUGAGAGGUUUCAAUAUUUUUCAAAUCUCAAACAGGUAGUUCUGAUAGUGUAGCAUUGGAAGAACAGCUACAAGAACACUUAUGGGUAAAGAUUAUUCUGAAACACAAACUGAAGUUGAAAGAGAGAAUGCGGAUGGUUCUGUUGAUCAUGUCAUAAGACAAACACAGAAUCAGCACCAGGGUUGGAAGCCAACUUUAGAUUUCAGACACAAUACAUUAUAAAGGUGAAUGCUUUAUAUCUACAGUGUUUGAGUAAGAAUACAACUCCACAGAUUGAGGACUAAACUCAUGAAAAAGAAAAGAGCAAAAAUAGUGAGAAGGAACGUAGUAAUAGGAGAAACAUGUGUGAUAUCACUGAAGGAUUUUACUGAGUAUAGAUGUUGGUUGGAAAAACAUACGUUAUUGUUCAGAAGGAGGGACAGUCGUUUUUACAUUCUACCUAACUGCAUUUUCCUAAAGUUAAUAUUUUGAAUUUAUGUGAAACAUUAAAAAGUAUGCAGGAGCCUUUCCCAAUCUGCUGAAGAUUGGUAAGUUAGUAGAUAUAUAGAGCAGGGGUGGUGAAAUCUGAUUUUGACUUAGUCAUGUUUGUGUUUGCUAAGAGCUAUUUUCUACUUGUCCUUAUAAUGGUUAUGUAGAAAAUAUGGUGAAAUUUUACUUGUUUGAGUAGGCAGGGGAUCAAACUGGGCAAGUCGGACAAAUGAUUUCACCACACCUGUAGAGAUUGUUUAUUUCAUUUUAUGAUCAAACUAUUUUUCACCAAGUGAACGCCAGAUAUGAAAAUCAGUCUUACUGUUUGCUGUUUAAGGUUGAAAAAUAAGUUGAACUUAUUUGUCAGAGAUAUUAUGUUUCACUCUUUUCAGCAGUUUUAGUACCUGUUUUACUUGUGUCUUGUCACUUGUAGUAUUAAAAGUACAUAAAGUUUUACUUUUUUUAUUAACAUGAUAAAAUACAGAAAAUUUCAAAGAAAUAUGUUAAUGUUUAUUUGUGAAACACUACUGUGAUUUGAUUGGACAUUAGUAUAUAAUCAACUGUUCUGUAGACUACUGAAAAGCAUGUGUAAAUAAGAUUAAAAUUCCAAGCACAGGUAUUUUAGAGCAUUAUAAUUGGUGUAGCCUAGUUGCAACAUUACUGUAUUUUUUGAAUAAUUUCAGAGAGUUUGUGGUUUCAUACUUUUGUGAUGGGGUUUAUAAUAAAUUUCUAAACAUAGUAACAAAUUGCAGUGUACUCAAAUUGUUCACUACAAAUGCUAGCAGAAAAUCUACAUGUUUAAGACUUCAGACGAUUUUCAUUUUGCUGUAAUGAAGACAAUUGUAACAAUAUGAGUUUUAGACAUCUCAGACAAAUUGUAUGAAAUUACAACAUCUGUUUUAAUUUUGUUCCUAAGGUUUCUUGCACAAUGAAAUGAAUGCUAUGGAUAUAUAUGUUGACGAAUACCUGUAAAUCUGAAAAAAAUGAGAAUUUAUUAGAUGUUGAUAAUAUUUUUUUUUCCCUUUAAAAUAGACAUAAUUAUAAUCAUAACAUGGCUCAGAUUUUUUGUUAGUUAAAUAAGCAUUGUUUCUUCUGUGAUAAACAGUAGUUGAGGAGCCAACCAGUUUCAGAACAUUAUGAUGAUUAUUUUGACUUCUGAUAGCCACAUAAUACCUGUUUCAUUAAUACUCAAAGAAAUGAAGUUUAGCAUAAUUUUA